GCUGCUCCGUAACACGUGGAUAACCUGCCCCUGGGACCGGGAUAACCCCGGGAAACUGGGGAUAAUACCGGAUAACGCAUAUCUGCUGGAAUGCUUUAUGCGUAAAAUGGAUUUGUCUGCCCAAGGAUGGGUCUGCGGCCUAUCAGGUAGUAGUGGGUGUAAUGUACCUACUAGCCUACGACGGGUACGGGUUGUGAGAGCAAGAGCCCGGAGAUGGAUUCUGAGACAUGAAUCCAGGCCCUACGGGGCGCAGCAGGCGCGAAAACUUUACAAUGCGGGAAACCGUGAUAAGGGGACACCGAGUGCCAGCAUCAUAUGUUGGCUGUCCAGAUGUGUAAAAUACAUCUGUUAGCAAGGGCCGGGCAAGACCGGUGCCAGCCGCCGCGGUAACACCGGCGGCCCGAGUGGUGAUCGUGAUUAUUGGGUCUAAAGGGUCCGUAGCCGGUUUGGUCAGUCCUCCGGGAAAUCUGACGGCUCAACCGUUAGGCUUUCGGUGGAUACUGCCAGACUUGGAACCGGGAGAGGUAAGAGGUACUACAGGGGUAGGAGUGAAAUCUUGUAAUCCCUGUGAGACCACCUGUGGCGAAGGCGUCUUACCAGAACGGGUUCGACGGUGAGGGACGAAAGCUGGGGGCACGAACCGGAUUAGAUACCCGGGUAGUCCCAGCCGUAAACGAUGCUCGCUAGGUGUCAGGCAUGGCGCGACCGUGUCUGGUGCCGCAGGGAAGCCGUGAAGCGAGCCACCUGGGAAGUACGGCCGCAAGGCUGAAACUUAAAGGAAUUGGCGGGGGAG
rnacentral:rRNA from 1 species